rnacentral:miRNA from 17 species
UACUGUACUGGGUGCACUUGGAGC